GGGGAAUAUUGCACAAUGGGCGAAAGCCUGAUGCAGCGACGCCGCGUGAGGGAUGACGGCCUUCGGGUUGUAAACCUCUUUCAGCAGGGACGAAGCGCAAGUGACGGUACCUGCAGAAGAAGCACCGGCUAACUACGUGCCAGCAGCCGCGGUAAUACGUAGGGUGCAAGCGUUGUCCGGAAUUACUGGGCGUAAAGAGUUCGUAGGCGGUUUGUCGCGUCGUUUGUGAAAACCAGCAGCUCAACUGCUGGCUUGCAGGCGAUACGGGCAGACUUGAGUACUGCAGGGGAGACUGGAAUUCCUGGUGUAGCGGUGAAAUGCGCAGAUAUCAGGAGGAACACCGGUGGCGAAGGCGGGUCUCUGGGCAGUAACUGACGCUGAGGAACGAAAGCGUGGGUAGCGAAC
rnacentral:rRNA from 2 species